rnacentral:lncRNA from 1 species
GGAUUACCGUCUUUGUUUCCACCCCUCCUCCCUCCCCAUAACUCUCGUCAUUUCUCUUCACCUUUAGGUUUCCAUAUUUUCUCUUUCUCUUUCUCUCUCUCUCAAUUUCUUUCUGUUCAGGACUAACAAGUCUACAGUAAAUCAGGAUCCUGGUUCUCUCUCUAGGGGCCUCUAGGGGAGGGGCCUCUGUCGUGGCUUUACCCUCUCCUGGCCCCGACAGUAGCUGUCCUGCAGGACUCGCCAAGGUGUAGACACAGAAGUUAUGAAGUAACUUACAGCGAUACUUGGUCACACAAAUGGGACCCACUGAGCACAAACAUCAAUUGAACGUCUAUUCCACGUUGGUUCCACGUCAACCAGUGUGUGCCCAGCGGGGAUCUUUUACAGUGCUAUGGUAAAGAAACAGUGGACCAAACAAGGGAAUGGUAAAUGGGGAAUGGUGGCUGAAUUUAAAAUGGAUUAAAUUGAGAUGUUGUGUCACUGGCCUACACACAAUACCCCAUAAUACCAAAGUGGAAUUGUUUUUAGACAUUUUUACAAAUUAAUAAAAAAUGAAAAGCUGAAAUGACUUGAG